rnacentral:snRNA from 1 species
UAUGGGAUUACAAGCUUUCACUA